GUCAACUACCCCUCCCUGACGGAAGGGGCUUGUUCCGUGAGGGGCAUCGCAAGAGUUGAUUAGGGGGCUUGAAAGACAUGGUGAAAAACAUGAAAGAGAAGCAGAAGUUAGAUUGGAGAAAUACAUACACACCUACGGAUGCUCCACAAGUCCGUGGCAACUGUG
rnacentral:sRNA from 14 species